rnacentral:sRNA from 1 species
UGUUUGCGUGAGGGAUUGUAGUGAAAAUCCUUUUCCUUUUUAGGAAAAGAUUGUAGCGGAAAGCCCGACCCGAA